rnacentral:rRNA from 1 species
CCUUGUACACACCGCCCGUCACACCAUGGGAGCGGGAUGUACCAGAAGUAGGUAGGCUAACCGCAAGGGGGCCGCUUACCACGGUGCGUUUCAUGACUGGGGUG